GCCUGGGUGGCUCAGUCGGUUGAGCAUCCGACUUCAGCUCAGGUCAUGAUCUCGCGGUUUGUGGGUUCAAGCCCCGCGUCGGGCU
rnacentral:tRNA from 1 species